UACGUAGGGUGCGAGCGUUAAUCGGAAUUACUGGGCGUAAAGCGUGCGCAGGCGGUUUUGUAAGCCAGAUGUGAAAUCCCCGGGCUUAACCUGGGAAUGGCAUUUGGGGACUGCAAGGCUGGAGUACGGCAGAGGAGACUGGAAUUCCUGGUGUAGCAGUGAAAUGCGUAGAGAUCAGGAGGAAUACCGAUGGCGAAGGCAGGUCUCUGGGCUGAUACUGACGCUCAUGCACGAAAGCGUGGGGAGCGAACAGG
rnacentral:rRNA from 1 species